rnacentral:rRNA from 1 species
UGCAGUCGAACGGUGAAGCCAANNUUGCUUGGUGGAUCAGUGGCGAACGGGUGAGUAACACGUGAGCAACCUGCCCUGGACUCUGGGAUAAGCGCUGGAAACGGCGUCUAAUACUGGAUAUGAGCUCUCAUCGCAUGGUGGGGGUUGGAAAGAUUUUUCGGUCUGGGAUGGGCUCGCGGCCUAUCAGCUUGUUGGUGAGGUAAUGGCUCACCAAGGCGUCGACGGGUAGCCGGCCUGAGAGGGUGACCGGCCACACUGGGACUGAGACACGGCCCAGACUCCUACGGGAGGCAGCAGUGGGGAAUAUUGCACAAUGGGCGGAAGCCUGAUGCAGCAACGCCGCGUGAGGGAUGACGGCCUUCGGGUUGUAAACCUCUUUUAGCAGGGAAGAAGCGAAAGUGACGGUACCUGCAGAAAAAGCGCCGGCUAACUACGUGCCAGCAGCCGCGGUAAUACGUAGGGCGCAAGCGUUAUCCGGAAUUAUUGGGCGUAAAGAGCUCGUAGGCGGUUUGUCGCGUCUGCUGUGAAAUCCCGAGGCUCAACCUCGGGCCUGCAGUGGGUACGGGCAGACUAGAGUGCGGUAGGGGAGAUUGGAAUUCCUGGUGUAGCGGUGGAAUGCGCAGAUAUCAGGAGGAACACCGAUGGCGAAGGCAGAUCUCUGGGCCGUAACUGACGCUGAGGAGCGAAAGGGUGGGGAGCAAACAGGCUUAGAUACCCUGGUAGUCCACCCCGUAAACGUUGGGAACUAGUUGUGGGGACCAUUCCACGGUUUCCGUGACGCAGCUAACGCAUUAAGUUCCCCGCCUGGGGAGUACGGCCGCAAGGCUAAAACUCANGGAAUUGACGGGGACCCGCACAAGCGGCGGANCAUGCGGAUUAAUUCGAUGCAACGCGAAGAACCUUACCAAGGCUUGACAUAUACGA